CCCCCCGCCCCAGGCCGAGCGAAGGUCUCUAUGCCAUUGGAUGGUGAAGGCGGAUUGGGAUUUUGGAGGCGAUGCAAGGACGAUAAGGGCGGCUCGGGCCCCGGAAAGCUGCAGGCCAUCGGGAAAGCGGGGCUGCAGGAUGAAUAGGAGAUACUUACAGAAAGCAACAAAAGGCAAACUGCUAAUAAUAAUAUUUAUCGUAACCCUGUGGGGAAAAUUAGCAGCGGCUGCAAAUCACCACAAAGCUCACCAUGUUAAAACCGGGACCUGUGAGGUUGUGGCGCUCCACAGAUGUUGUAAUAAGAACAAGAUAGAAGAAAGGUCACAGACAGUCAAGUGCUCCUGUUUCCCCGGGCAGGUGGCAGGGACCACCCGGGCUGCGCCUUCUUGUGUUGAUGCUUCAAUAGUGGCUCAAAAAUGGUGGUGCCACAUGCAGCCGUGUCUGGAAGGAGAAGAAUGUAAAGUUCUUCCCGACCGGAAAGGAUGGAGCUGUUCCUCUGGGAAUAAAGUGAAAACCACUCGGGCAAACGUGUAAAACUCUUCAAGUCCGCAUGGAGAAGUAGACAGAGGAGGUUUCUGCCGUGCCUGAUGACAAUUUUUGAGUUUUCCACACACAAAAUAUUCCUGGCUCCUCGUUGGAGCCUUAGUUGUGACGAGUCCUAGUUUGGGUCGGAUUCUAAGGAAGGGCCAGAAGGUUCAUUGAGGAAUAAAGAGUCAAACCGGCUCCUGAAAUGAGCUCCUGUCCUGGUUUGUUUCUCCCAGAGCACCAGGUAACCCAUUAGCUAAAGACAAAUCAAGUGGAUCUCAAGGCUGAUAAUAUUAAGCAUACCUUGUAGGAAUUUAACAUCCGAAGCAAUCUAGCAUUUUAUACUGCUGGUGAGUUCUCUUCAGAACCAAUUAAUUCCGUGGGAAUUAUGGGUUCACAAGCAGCGACCUUUUGGAGCCAAAACUUCUUAAAAAUCAGGCAAGAACUUCUCUUUCCAGAAGACGCUGACUGAUUUGAACUGAGUUCACUUGUAAAAUUGUACUAGCUAACAGAACUGACUUCAGUCUGAAGAGUUGAGAUUCCCAGGGUGUCACAGAGAUUCCAACUUUUUGGGUUCUUGGCUCCGGAAAAGACUGUUUUUCUUGUAUCUGAAAACAUUCUUCACCCUGAACUGGACUUUGAGUUCUGCUACCAUGCUGAAUCCUAUAUGCCACUGACUGGAUCCCAUACUGCUUGAAUCACAUUUCUUUUUCAUAACUUGUCCUCCGGCAUGGCAACAGUUUAAACAUUUUUAUUUGUAUCCGAGUCCUAGAGCUCUUAGAGACUACAUAUUUCAACAUCUUGAAGUUACUUUUGUUCUAGAAAUGGAAAUGUAUAUCCAUGGUUAAUAAUUAUUGUUGACAAGUAAUAGUUCUCUGAAUACUUCAUUGAAUCAUAUAUGUAGGUAUAGGCAAGCUGAGAUCUUUCUCCAAAGCUAACAGCAGCUCCUUUGGUAGCUCCAUCAAUAGUGGUCAAAACUGGGUUCCAAUUUUCAUGAUAAAGUAUUUUAAAUCUCGAGAGCAUACAUACGCUUUAAGUUCGAAGAAAAAAACGACGAGUGCUAUGUAUUUAGUUUCUUCGUUUCCAUGCUUCCCGGUCUCACCCAGAUCAGCAGUGAGCAGUGGAAGGCUUUGUAGAACUCCCCUUUGGAAAUAGCCAGGGAUGCAUGUGAGUAUAACAAUUCUGAGCUUGAAUGGGGCUCUUUUGGAGGGUUUUCUUGACUUUUUAUGACUGUCUCUUGCUUGAACAUAAUGACUGUCUGGAUGCUUUUGUAUUUGUCUGCCCAAUCUGUCCGUCGAUAGAGGAAAGAGUUCAUUUCUCCCAGUCUCCAGUUCACUAACAUUCACCAACAACUGCCCGACUCAGACGAUUCUAGCUGGCUUUCUCCCUGAUUUGGGGAAGUGGCUUUCAAAUUUGUGGUUUGCUGGUUCUACAGAAAAAUGUCUUAUGGAUAUUUAAAGGCCUUAAACAUCUAUGAACUUUUUCUAAGCUAUUACAGAAUGUAUAAUUUUCUACUGCAUUUGCUGGACUCCGCCGGCAACGUAAAGGUAGAGGAGACUGGAAGCCGCCUUGCUGUUGUAUACACACAGGCUGAGGGAGUGGUAAAGAAAGCGAUUUCUGUGUCUUCAUUCUGUAAACUGAGACGAAGACUGUGUGGACACAGUCCUAUUGGAAACGAAUUAUGUGAGUAAGCUAACACAAGUGGCCAGCAUGAGGUACCAAUAUACUCGAGAAAGAGGGAAAUCUUUUCAUUUCUACAACUCACUGACAUGGAUAAUUUUACCUAAAUUGGGUUCCAUAAUGAAUGUUGCCCUAGAUUGGCUGUGUCAAGACCGUUUCCUCAGCCCUAUUAUUGCACAGCAGAACUAAAGUUGUAAAAAUUGUUGCAAAUACAUGGAAAACGUAUUUUAACAUCACUCUGACGAAUGCGGCACAGCAUUUCCAUGGAAAGAAAUGCUUUCUGCUCGGUUUUAAUGAGGAUAAACUCUUGUAAGAACCAGUUAGGUGUCUCCACAUUUUCGGGUUGAUUCACACCGGACAGGCUUGCUCAGAAAGGGGAAUGGAUGGAGAGGGCUGUGAAAACUUAUGAAACCUCAUUCCCUUGUUUGGAAUAAUUCAAAGUGAAAACUGGUACUUUGUAGGAUAUUAUUUGGGUGCGGAUUGGAUCAAAAUUCUGCUUCAUGUUUCUCAAUAUUGUUUCCUUUGACUCUGUUCUUAAAAUCACCACUGGAAAUACUGUAUUAUAUACAAGUGUAACACAUGCAUAUCAAUAGGUGAAAAUAAAUGGAUUUUCAAAUAUACUAACUAGAUUAUCCCCAAUAGAUUAAUGUUGUGACAAGUGAAUAAAAUUGUGAUAGAAAAUGGACUCCCUUCAUGGA